rnacentral:SRP_RNA from 1 species
GCCGGGCGAGGUGGCGGGCGCCUGUAGUCCCAGCUACUUGGGAGGCUGAGGCAGGAGAAUGGCGUGAACCCGGGAGGCAGAGCUUGCAGUGAGCCAAGAUCCCGCCACUGCACUCCAGCCUGGGCCACAGAGUGGGACUGCAUCUCAAGAAAAAAAAAAAGAUACUAAGGGCAUUGAACUGUUUAGGAAGAGUACAGAUGUUCAUUUACUUGACUUUUUUUUUUUUUUUUUUGAGACGGAGUCUCGCUCUGCCGCCCAGGCUGGAGUGCAGUGGCCGGAUCUCAGCUCACUGCAAGCUCUGCCUCCCGGGUUCACGCCAUUCUCCUGCCUCAG